UACGGAGGGUGCAAGCGUUAUCCGGAUUCACUGGGUUUAAAGGGUGCGUAGGUGGGUUGGUAAGUCAGUGGUGAAAUCUCCGAGCUUAACUUGGAAACUGCCAUUGAUACUAUUUGUCUUGAAUACUGUGGAGGUAAGCGGAAUAUGUCAUGUAGCGGUGAAAUGCUUAGAUAUGACAUGGAACACCAAUUGCGAAGGCAGCUUACUACACAGUUAUUGACGCUGAGGCACGAAAGCGUGGGGAUCAAACAGG
rnacentral:rRNA from 1 species